rnacentral:lncRNA from 1 species
CCAGUGCAACAGAAACACAACUCAUUUACUAUAGUCCAGAAUUGGACAGAGGAAACUCCACCAAAGGGUUCGUCCAGUAGAGCUUCCAUGCACAAGAAACGGUACACCAGAACUCACAAGAGGAUGAAACCCAACUUGAUCUUCUUCCUGUAACUUCUACUGGUAAA